rnacentral:rRNA from 1 species
AUAAACGCUGGCGGCGUGCCUAAUACAUGCCAGUCGAGCGAACAGACGAGGAGCUUGCUCCUCUGACGUUAGCGGCGGACGGGUGAGUAACACGUGGAUAACCUACCUAUAAGACUGGGAUAACUUCGGGAAACCGGAGCUAAUACCGGAUAAUAUAUUGAACCGCAUGGUUCAAUAGUGAAAGACGGUUUUGCUGUCACUUAUAGAUGGAUCCGCGCCGCAUUAGCUAGUUGGUAAGGUAACGGCUUACCAAGGCAAUGAUGCGUAGCCGACCUGAGAGGGUGAUCGGCCACACUGGAACUGAGACACGGUCCAGACUCCUACGGGAGGCAGCAGUAGGGAAUCUUCCGCAAUGGGCGAAAGCCUGACGGAGCAACGCCGCGUGAGUGAUGAAGGUCUUCGGAUCGUAAAACUCUGUUAUUAGGGAAGAACAAAUGUGUAAGUAACUAUGCACGUCUUGACGGUACCUAAUCAGAAAGCCACGGCUAACUACGUG